UUUGACGUUAGCGACAGAAGAAGCACCGGCUAACUCCGUGCCAGCAGCCGCGGUAAUACGGAGGGUGCGAGCGUUAAUCGGAAUUACUGGGCGUAAAGCGCAUGCAGGUGGUUUGUUAAGUCAGAUGUGAAAGCCCGGGGCUCAACCUCGGAAUUGCAUUUGAAACGGCGAAGGCGGCCCCCUGGACAGAUACUGACACUCAGAUGCGAAAGCGUGGGGAGCAAACAGGAUUAGAUACCCUGGUAGUCCACGCCGUAAACGAUGUCUACUUGGAGGUUGUGGCCUUGAGCCGUGGCUUUCGGAGCUAACGCGUUAAGUAGACCGCCUGGGGAGUACGGUCGCAAGAUUAAAACUCAAAUGAAUUGA
rnacentral:rRNA from 1 species